rnacentral:lncRNA from 1 species
CACACACACACAAAAUGUACACACACCACACACACAUUCACACACAUUCACACUCAACAACACAAAGGGAAACACACACACACACCCACACACAAGGGACACACACACACACAUCACACACACACAACCAAAGGUCACACACACACACACACCACAUGUACACACACACACGCCACACACUGUCACACACCACCACCACACACACACACACACACACACAACCAAACACACACACACACACACACAACACCAAAGGUACACACACACACAGACAGACACACACAUUUCGCACUCACAACACCAAAGAAAAUACACACACACCACUUUAUUGUGGUCCUGAGAAUUACAGCUCACAGAUUCAACUCACCUGCAUGUUGUGUAUCCGAAGGUACAACACAGCCAUCCACAUCAACACAGCAUCUAACAUCCACCACAGCCAUCUAACAUCCAACACCAGCCAUCUAACAUCCAACACAGCCAUCCAACAUCCAACACAGCCAUCUAACAUCCAACACCAGCAUCUAUAUCCAACACAGCCAUCUGAUAUCAAAAGCUCAACAUCCACACAGCCAUCUGCAUCCAACACAGCCAUCUGUAAUCCAAACCAGCCGUCCAACAUCCAACACAGCCAUCUGAUAUCCAACACAGCCAUCCAACAUCCAACACAGCCAUCUGAUAUCUAACACAGCCAUCUGAUAUCCAACACAGCCAUCCGAUAUCCAACACAGCCAUCCGAUAUCCAACACAGCCAUCUGAAUCCAACACAGCCAUGCAACAUCCAACACAGCCAUCUGAAUCCAACACAGCCAUCCAACAUCCAGCACAGCCAUCCGAUAUCCAACACAACAAGCCAUCCGAUAUCAACACAUAACAUCCAACACAGCCAUCCAACAUCCAACACAGCCAUCGAUAUCCACACAGCCAUCUGAUAUCCAACACAUACAUCCAACACAGCCAUCCGAUAUCCACACAGCCAUCUGAUAUCCAACACAAUAACAUCAACACAGCCAUCCUGAUAUCCAACACAGCCAUCUGAUAUCCAACAAGCCAUCCGAAUACAACACAGCCAUCUGAUAUCCAACACAGCAUCCACAUCCAACACAGCCAUCCAACAUCCAACACAUACACAUCCAACACAGCAUCCAACAUCCAACACAGCCAUCUGAUAUCCAACACAGCCAUCCGAUAUCCAACACAGCCAUCUUAUAUCCAACACAAGCCAUCCGAUAUCCAACACAGCCAUAUGUAUCCAAACACACCAUCUGAUACGACACAACAUCCGAUAUCCAACACAGCAUCCAAUAUCCAACACAGCCAUUCGGCAUCCAACACAGCCAUCCAGCACUAUCUCCGACUCCUUCUCAAACA